CGUCCGAGUUCAAAAUGAUUGUAAGUUCAAGCAUUUUGAAGGACGAGGAGACCUUUAAAAUUAUAUUCAAAAACUGGGAUUUCUUAACAUCAGGUUAAUUUUGACUUAUUUCAAAACUACCUGAGUUGCAGCCCUCCAUUCAACUCAGUUUCCACGAUACUCGUUCACUCAUGAGUGAAAGACAGAUAAGGUCGCUCGUAAUCCCAUAUUACUCUGACGUUUAUCGACUGUCCAUGUUUGUUUACCUAUGAUAUUAGUUCCCUCAACAGGUCCUUUUUCCGAAAGUUUCCGAAGAAAAGUGCGCACUUUUGAGCAAACUCCUUAUUCCACUAAUAGGUUUUGUUUGAAUAAUCGGUUGCAUUGGAAUUUGCAGGAAGAAAUUCAAAAAAAUCGAGCCGUUUUGGGUUUACGGAAAGGAGGAUACGUCGGGUUUCAUAUCAGCUGCUGAGAACACCCCGAGUAAUUUUCCGGUUUUGUCGGCCAGCUCGUAGGAACUCGUUCCAAUACGGGCUCGUACUGUGCAUGGCGUAUACAAUGGACCUAGCUUGGCAUUGUAAUUUUGAGGAACAGAUGAUUGGCGGAAGUUCCUUUUUAGAACAUUUUGACCAACCGUAUACGAUGGAGCUUUGACUUUGCUCCGUAAAUUAUAAUAAUUCUUAUUUUUCUCAUAAUGCUUUCGCAGAUUUUUGUAUACAAUGUCAUAAAUAGA